rnacentral:rRNA from 1 species
CCUACGGGAGGCAGCAGUGAGGAAUAUUGGACAAUGGGUUAGCGCCUGAUCCAGCCAUCCCGCGUGAAGGACGACGGCCCUAUGGGUUGUAAACUUCUUUUGUAUAGGGAUAAACCUACUCUCGUGAGAGUAGCUGAAGGUACUAUACGAAUAAGCACCGGCUAACUCCGUGCCAGCAGCCGCGGUCAUA